rnacentral:lncRNA from 1 species
UAGCAAAUGACUUGCAGAGAGUUCAGUACAUCCCUGUAAACAAGAUGUAACAAUCCAAGAACAACGAGGAACUGAGUAGAUGUUUGUUCCUCCCAGGAUGUUUUCAGUUCCCAGGAUGUUUCUUGUCCUGGAGAAUCACAGCUUCCCCGGAUCAUUGAGGUCUCAGUUUUGACUGAGGCCAAAAUGGAAUUAUGUCUGGGAAUUCCAUAGCUGGGCUGUAGGCAGGAGAACCUAGGCUAACUGAAUGAUUUUUCCCUAAAAUUAUGUAACAUUGCUCCCGACACUUCUCAAAGUCUCAUUUUUCUACCUUUCCUGUAAUUCACCAUGUACUGCCGGGCCUCGAAGGAGACUAGGACUUACUGCAGAGGUUCUGGUAACGUCCGCUUUCCCUGUUCCCUACAGCCAAGGUUCUUUUCCCUUUUGAUCUUAGCAAACCAAGCUUUGCAGGGUACAGUGUGAAGAGGAGGUGCAGCCUCCGCAGACCGUCAGCUUUUUAUGGGUGGUUAAGCCUGUUCUGCCAGCUAUAUGAAUUCCUUUGGGGAGGGGCUCAUCUCUCCCUUCCUAGGGGUCUCUAUCCCUACAGGGCUAUAGGCUUUUCUAUUACAUGGAGACUCAGGUUAUGGAACCCCAAGACAUGAGCUCACUUCCUUGGCAACAUCUCCAAACAGAACUUGGAACCCUUGCUAACAAGCAUCACAAUCUAGUAACAGCCAUCUCCCAAGCUCAUGUGGCCCGAGACGGUCAACAGCGAACAUGUUGAGCUGCUUCUCCACUUCCAGAGGCCGCAGCCUCAGGACCCCAGGUAGAGAAAGUAUCUGUGAAAGACUAAGAAGAUGGCUGACUCCAUCCAGAUGCCACAGGCCACACUGUAGCAGCCACAUGACUGUCACAGACACCCCAGGGACAGUCUCCCCUGCAGUGACCACCAGUGACCUACCAAAAUCAAGAUUGACAAUAAUGAUCAGCAACUCAAUGAUACCAUGGGAAGGAAGAACCUUCAAUACCUCUCAGUGCUACAGCCUGCUCCUCAGUGGCUUCACGACCACGAACACACCCAUGUGUGGGGCUGGUGUAACAUCCUUGAAGAUCCGGCAGAACUCCAUAUUCCACAGAGUCUCAUCAUCCCAAUCCUUGCAGGCAAGAAGAAUGGCUCCCAGGACACUCCUUCUCCAGUUAGUAGGACAGCUAUCAAUCUCAGUGUAAGACAAAAGCCUUUCUAUAAAAACCAAGGUUGUUAUUGCACAUUCAGUUGGUAAGCGUGUGG